rnacentral:rRNA from 1 species
GCAGUCGCCGCGGUAAUACGAAGGGUGCAAGCGUUAAUCGGAAUUACUGGGCGUAAAGCGUGCGUAGGCGGUGAGUUAAGUCUGCUGUGAAAUCCCCGGGCUCAACCUGGGAAUGGCAGUGGAUACUGGCUCGCUAGAGUGUGUCAGAGGAUGGUGGAAUUCCCGGUGUAGCGGUGAAACGCGUAGAGAUCGGGAGGAACAUCAGUGGCGAAGGCGGCCAUCUGGGACAACACUGACGCUGAGGCACGAAAGCGUGGGGAGCAAACAGGAUUAGAUACCCCCGUAGUCCCUGUCUCUUAUAC